AGCGACCUACUUCACAGGAUCAGUGCAUUAGGUUGUUAACUGCGAACAGUCUGGAACUGUGCGCGUACACCAAACCUCGAUGAUGAGGAGUAGUGAUCCCUUCUGAGCGCGAAGCCGUUUUGGGCGGUUGGUCGAAAGACUGUCGCCCUGACAUUGAUGACCGUUCCUUUCCCCCUUGACUACGCGAUAGUCGGGGGAUGAGGAGGGAGGGAUCGCAUUCCGAGCGGU